CUUCCUUCCUUCUCAGAUUCAACUACUCGCUUGAGACCGCGUGUGUGAAGAAGACGUCUGACUUAAAUAAGGUGGUUCUUAACUCUCCAUGUGGUUUAAAGCCUAUUGUACCCAUUAUAUGCAAUAUGGUUUUGGAUGACACUCCUGUGAACAGAUGGGUCAGUGGGCUCCAAAACACAAUGUUGCCUCAAUCCUGUGAACUGAUCACAGAAAAACGCUUUUUUUUUUCUGAGGAUUCCUCUUCAAAUGGUGUGAUCUGAAGGAUGUCCACUAGGCGGCAAACCAACCCUUUGGCGAUUGGAGCAGUGUUAGAGGUCCCAUAUGGUGAGAUUGAAGAAUAAAUGCUGGCAGGGUGUCAUUCUUGCACACAGUGCUGUGAAAUGAAAAGUUUUGAUUCGGAGUGAAGGGUUUCCCAGCCAGACUUACAAGUUGGUGCUGAUGAGCUCAUACUGCGUGGGAAACUAAACCUUUCGCUGCUUUGGAGUUCUGUUUUAAUGCAGUUUUCAAUAAAUGAAGUUCAAAAUCA